GGGAGAACUUGCACAAUUGGUGGCUGACUAAAUACUUUUUUGCCCCACUGUAGCUGAAAAGAGAGAACAGUAACUUAUUAGUUCAGGUUCAUGUUUUAUCUAUUGAUACUACAUUCUCAUCACUGCUCAUAUACAUAUAUAAUACUGGAUUAAAUAAUGAUGUCGUAAUAACUGCUUACUGUACAUCUCUCCACUGAUCUCCACAGUGACCUGCACAAAGGGUUCCAGGACUCUGCACACCUCCUCCACCACCUCCCAUUCCUCUUGGGUCAGAGCAUUAACAGGUGCAUUGACAAAGGCCAGGGUAGAGAUGAUGGCAUCCCCAUCUAGUUUUGUGUAGACUUUUUGUGUAGACUUUUUUCAGCACCUACUGUGCUCCUGUGGAAGUAUUCCACAGCUGCUUUCACUUUGUCCACAGUCUGCUUCAUCACCUUCAGAGCAUCUCUUACAAUCAGGUUGAUUGUGUGGGCAGGACAUGGAUGAUGGGUCCAUUUGAACAUUUUCAUGGCUUUGGUUAUGUUAGCUGCAUUGUCGCUAACACAACAGACCACUUUUCCAUAUACUUGCCAUUCUCUUGCCACUCUCAACAGUUCCUCUGCCAAGUUCUCUGAGGUGUGUCUGUCGCUGAACUCAAAGCAGUCCAGAAGACAGCUAGACAUCAAACCAUCUUCAAUGAAGUGACAUGUAACCGACAUGUAAGAAGUGGUUACCCUUGAUGUCCAGCAGUCAGUGGUAAGGCAAACUGCAGUAGCUUUCUGGACUCUUUCCCGCCCUGAAGCCUGUGUGCUCCCGUACAGUUGUGGAAUAAGUGAUUUUGAAAGGGUUUUCCUGCUUGGAAUUGUGUACAUUGGAUUUAGACUGUUGCUAUAAUUUCUGAAACCUCUGUCCUCCACGAUCGAAAAUGGCUGGAAAUCGGUGGCAAUCAUUUUAGCCAAUGCAAUAUUAAUUUAGGCUGGUUUUGCUACAGACUUUUGCAUAAACUGGUCCAUAGAAGACUGCGUUGCUGUGGGUCGCGUAGUAGGUCCACUUGACUGAGUGGAUACAUCUCCACGUGUGGAGGUGCUGGUUCCACCACUGCCAGUAGUAGGUCCACUUGACUGAGUGGAUACAUCUCCACGUGUGGAGGUGCUGGUUCCACCACUGCCAGUAGUAGGUCCACUUGACUGAGUGGAUACAUCUCCACGUGUGGAGGUGCUGGUUCCACCACUGCCAGUAGUAGGUCCACUUGACUGAGUGGAUACAUCUCCACGUGUGGAGGUGCUGGUUCCACCACUGCCAGUAGUAGGUCCACUUGACUGAGUGGAUACAUCUCCACGUGUGGAGGUGCUGGUUCCACCACUGCCAGUAGUAGGUCCACUUGACUGAGUGGAUACAUCUCCACGUGUGGAGGUGCUGGUUCCACCACUGCCAGUAGUAGGUCCACUUGACUGAGUGGAUACAUCUCCACGUGUGGAGGUGCUGGUUCCACCACUGCCAGUAGUAGGUCCACUUGACUGAGUGGAUACAUCUCCACGUGUGGAGGUGCUGGUUCCACCACUGCCAGUAGUAGGUCCACUUGACUGAGUGGAUACAUCUCCACGUGUGGAGGUGCUGGUUCCACCACUGCCAGUAGUAGGUCCACUUGACUGAGUGGAUACAUCUCCACGUGUGGAGGUGCUGGUUCCACCACUGCCAGUAGUAGGUCCACUUGACUGAGUGGAUACAUCUCCACGUGUGGAGGUGCUGGUUCCACCACUGCCAGUAGUAGGCCUACUUGACUGAGUGGAUACAUCUCCACGUGUGGGGGUGCUGGCUCUACCACUAUCACUAGCAGGCCUACUUGACUGAGUAGUCUCCCCCUCUCUGUUUCUACUUCUUCAUCUCCCCCUCUGUUUCUACCUCUUCCUCUUCUUCAUCUCCCCCUCUCUCUGUGUGUUGAUUUGUAGCAUUCCCUCUGAAGUAGGCCACAUUGUCACAUCUCUUAGUAACAUACCUGUUUGCACAGAUUCCUUCAUGCACAAAUAUUUGAGUGCAGCACUGCCCAACAAGUUGUUUUCGGUGCGUCACACUACACACACUUUCGGUGUGUGACACACAUACAUGCACAUUGUGCUAUUCCCCUCAGGAAAACAAACAGUCAUUAUGAGGUCAAGUUUAAAAAAGGAUCCAACAAUAAUAGUCUCACUUUGAAAUAUAAUUGUUUAUUAAAACAUUUACUUGGAAUAAUAGAAUACUUAAUAUAUCGGUUUUAAAUAUGUCUUAGGAUGUGGAUAAUAUGAAUAAUAAUAAUAAUAUAUGGUAGUAUUGAGUGAUAAAAACAAAACAAAUCCAUGUGACAAACAUACAAAACCAGAAAACAAUGUUAACCAAA